AGGAGCUUAGGAUAAUUUUAGUCCAAAGGCCUUCAAAGCCUUACGUGGGGGUUAAAAUCCUCCAGAACCUG
rnacentral:tRNA from 1 species